rnacentral:rRNA from 1 species
ACUCAAAGGAAUAGACGGGGACCCGCACAAGCAGCGGAGCGUGUGGUUUAAUUCGAGGCUACGCGAAGAACCUUACCAGGGAUUGACAGGAUGGUUGUAGGGAAGCGAAAGCCGACCGAGCCUUCGGGCCGCCAUCACAGGUGAUGCAUGGCUGUCGUCAGCUCGUGCCGUGAGGUGUUUGGUUAAGUCCACUAACGAGCGCAACCCUUAGGGCCAGUUACACGUGUCUGGCCCGACUGCCGGUUGCAAGCCGGAGGAAGGUGGGGAUGACGUCAAGUCAGCAUGUCCUUGAUACCCUGGGCGACACACACGCUACAAUGGCCAGCACAACGGGUUGCCAAGCCGCGAGGCGGAGCCAAUCCUAGCAAAACUGGUCUCAGUUCGGAUGGGAGGCUGCAACUCGCCUCCCUGAAGUCGGAGUUGCUAGUAACCGCCGGACAGCCAUACGGCGGUGAAUACGUUCCCGGGUCUUGUACACACCGCCCGU